GGCAGACGGGUGAGUAACGCGUGGCAAUCUACCUUUUGGUACGGAAUAGCUCCGGGAAACUGGAAUUAAUACCGUAUGUGCACUUUGGGCGAAAGAUUUAUCGCCAAGAGAUGAGCCCGCGUUUGAUUAGCUAGUUGGUGGGGUAAUGGCCUACCAAGGCGACGAUCAAUAGCUGGUCUGAGAGGAUGAUCAGCCACAUUCGGUCUGAGACACGGCCCAAACUCCUACGGGAGCCAGCAGUGGGGAAUAUUGGACAAUGGGCGCAAGCCUGAUCCAGCCAUGCCGCGUGAGUGAUGAAGGCCCUAGGGUUGUAAAGCUCUUUCGCCGGUGAAGAUAAUGACAGUAGCCGGUAAAGAAGCCCCGGCUAACUUCGUGCCAACAGCCGCGGUAAUACGAAGGGGGCUAGCGUUGUUCGGAAUUACUCGGCGUAAAGCGCACGUAGGCGGACAUUUAAGUCAGGGGCGAAAUCCCGGAGCUCAACUCCGGAACUGCCUUUGAUACUGGGUGUCUUGAGUUUGGUAGAGGUAAGUGGAAUUGCGAGUGUACAGGUGAAAUUCGUAGAUAUUCGCAGGAACACCAGUGGCGAAGGCGGCUUA
rnacentral:rRNA from 1 species